rnacentral:tRNA from 1 species
GGCUGUGGCUCAGUGGUAGAGCACUGCCUUGCAUGUGUGAGGCACUGGGUUCAAUUCUCAGCACCA